AUGCAGGUGAUCGCGGGUAUUGGCAUAUGCUGGUACACGAGGAAAGUCCGGGCUUCAUAGGGCAGGAUGCCGGAUAACGUCCGGUGGAGGCGACUCCAAGGCUAGUGCAACAGAAAUGUACCGCCGUUCUAUGGCUUGUUUGUGGGUUCGCUCGCAGACAGGUCAGAAGAGAAUCGGUAAGGUUGGAAGGGCAGUGUAAGAGACUACCGCCCUGCCGGUAACGACAGGGGCAGAUGUAAACCCCAUCCGAAGCAAGACAAACGAGAGACGAACGUGGCCCGCCAGUCUCCGGUAUGUCGCUUGAGUCCUCCGGCAACGGAGGACCUAGAUAGAUGAUCACCCAACGACAUAACCCGGCUUAUCGCAUUGCUC
rnacentral:RNase_P_RNA from 1 species